rnacentral:lncRNA from 1 species
GAAGACUUCAAGACUCCUUGUGUUUAAGUCACAGAGUGUGUUUAGGAGUUGCGAAAUUGUAAUUUUGUAUUUUCUUUGGAUUUUUCACGCGAGAAGUUCAUUGUUUUGGUGAUGGCAAUGAAUUUCAUUUUUGUUUGGAGAGUUGAGCAUUGUGAGUAUUUUGAUGUAUUUUUGAGUUUUGUCACGAAAUUGCCAAAGGGGAAGAUUGUUAUGGAUUUUAUGUUAGUAUAUUUCGUAAAGUAUGUUGGAGUCUUGAAUGUUUAAAGAAGAAGAGAUGAAGAUUGAAGACUCGAAGACUCAAAACAUGAAGGCACAAUGCUCAGUAAGUUUAAAUACCAUUGAUGAUGAUUUAUAAAUAUUUUGUGGUGAGAUUUUAUUGUUAAAAUAAGUUUGGAAGACUUAGAUUAUGUUUUUGUUGAUCAAACUGGACUUUUCUAAAAAAU